UCAAUAGGAUUUUAAUCAACUGAUCAAUAGAACUAGAUAUUAUUUUGAGCCUCCAUGAAAAUUCAAUAGAAUAAUUUAUUCACAGUAUUGACAUUAAUCAAGAGCUCCGGCUGGCAAAACAUUCAAUAGGAAUUCAAUCAACAAUCAAUAGGAUUAAUCAACUGAUCAGUAGAGCUAGAGAUUAUUCUGAGCCUCCAUGAAAAUUCAAUAGAAGAAUUUAUUCACAGUAUUGACAUUAAUCAACAGCUCCGGCUGGCAAAACAUUCAAUAGAAAUUCAAUCAACAAUCAAUAGGAUUUUAAUCAACUGAUCAAUAGAACUAGAGAUCAUUUCAAGCCUCCCUGAUAAUUCAAUAGAGGUAUUUAUUCACCGUAUUGACAUUAAUCAAGAGCUCCGGCUGGCAAAACAUUAAAUAGGAAUUCAAUCAACAGUCAAUAGGGUUUCAAUAGAACUAUUGAUUAUCUCACGCCUCUCUGACAAUAGAGUGAAGGAUUCAAUCAACAGUAUUUACAUUAAUCAUGAGCUCUGGCUUACGCAACAUUCAAUACAAAUUUAAUCAACUGUUCAAUACAAUUGAUUAUCCACAGCUUUUCCGAUAAUCCUGUACUUAUAUUUUGAUAUAAAUACAGCUUCCUUAACGCUCAGAAAAUCAGAAACAUCAGGGAAAAUAGUGCUGCCAUACACGAUUUUGCAGAUCUAAUCUCCAUCACAAUCUUCGCAAAAUGAAGUUGUUCCACGUGGUUCUCGUAGCAUCAGCGUUGGUGGUGAUGAGUCUUAUGACUCCAGUCCUUGCCGAUCCCCGCCCCAGGGGAGGCCAUCUGCCACCCGGUCGCAAAUGAUUCCUCAUUUUUCAAAUUGUUUCAAUUUUUUAAAAUUAUUUUUUGUGUGUUGGUUUUUAAAUGAAACAAUGUAAUAAAAGCAAUUGCUUCUUGAGGAAUUGAAGUUUUUGAUCGAUUAAACCAUAUUACUGUACUACAAAUGAUUCUUCAUUUCCAAGUUGUUUCAAAUUUUCAAUAAUUUUUUCUGUGUGUGUGUGUGUGUUUAAUUGAAACAAUGCAAUAAAAGCAUUUGCUACUUGAGGAAU